GAGUUUGCUCCUGGCUCAGAACGUACGCUGGCGGCACGCCUUAUACAUGCAAGUCGAACGAAGUAGUAAUACUUAGUGGCAGACGGGUGAGUAACAUGUAGGUAUCUUCCCUUUGGUGAGGAAUAACACGAGGAAACUUGUGCUAAUACCUCAUAAGUCUUUACGGAGAAAGCUUUAUGCGCCAAUGGAUGAGCCUGCACUUGAUUAGUUUGUUGGUGGGGUAAUGGCCUACCAAGACUUUGAUCAAUAGCUGAUCUGAGAGGAUGAUCAGCCACAUUGGGACUGAGACACGGCCCAAACUCCUACGGGAGGCAGCAGUAGGGAAUAUUGCACAAUGGAGGAAACUCUGAUGCAGCGAUGCCGCGUGAGUGAAGAAGGCCUUUGGGUUGUAAAGCUCUUUCGUCGCCCCCCCAAAAUGACUGUACCCGAAUAAGAAGGACCGGCUAACUUCGUGCCAGCAGCCGCGGUAAUACGAAGGGACCUAGCGUAGUUCGGAAUUACUGGGCUUAAAGAGUUCGUAGGUGGUUGAAAAAGUUGGUGGUGAAAUCCCAGAGCUUAACUCUGGAACUGCCAUCAAAACUUUUCAGCUAGAGUAUGAUAGAGGAAAGCAGAAUUUCUAGUGUAGAGGUGAAAUUCGUAGAUAUUAGAAAGAAUACCAAUUGCGAAGGCAGCUUUCUGGAUCAUUACUGACACUGAGGAACGAAAGCAUGGGUAGCGAAGAGGAUUAGAUACCCUCGUAGUCCAUGCCGUAAACGAUGUGUGUUAGACGUUGGAAAUUUAUUUUCAGUGUCGCAGCGAAAGCGAUAAACACACCGCCUGGGGAGUACGACCGCAAGGUUAAAACUCAAAUGAAUUGACGGGGACCCGCACAAGUAGUGGAGCAUGUGGUUUAAUUCGAAGAUACGCGCAGAACCUUACCAACACUUGACAUGUUCGUCGCGACUUUAAGAGAUUAAAGUUUUCGGUUCGGCCGGACGAAACACAGGUGCUGCAUGGCUGUCGUCAGCUCGUGUCGUGAGAUGUUGGGUUAAGUCCCGCAACGAGCGCAACCCUCACUUUUAGUUGCCAUCAUUAAGUUGGGCACUCUGAAAGAACUGCCAGUGAUAAGCUGGAGGAAGGUGGGGAUGACGUCAAGUCCUCAUGGCCCUUACGUGUUGGGCUACACACGUGCUACAAUGGUAUCUACAACAGGAAGCAAGACGGCGACGUCAAGCAAAUCCUUAAAAGAUACCUCAGUUCGGAUUGCACUCUGCAACUCGAGUGCAUGAAGCUGGAAUUACUAGUAAUCGUGGAUCAGCGUGCCACGGUGAAUGCGUUCCCGGGUCUUGUACACACCGCCCGUCACACCAUGGGAGUUGGUUCUACCUUAAGGCAAGGUUUAAAACCCUUGACCACGGUAUAGUCAGCGACUGGGGUGAAGUCGUAACAAGGUA
rnacentral:rRNA from 2 species